rnacentral:rRNA from 1 species
GACGAACCGUGCGAACGUUGUUCGGAAUCACUGGGCUUAAAGGGCGCGUAGGCGGCUCGCGAGGUCGGGGGUGAAAUCCCGCAGCCUUAACUGCGGAAGAGCCUUCGAUACCGGCGGGCUAGAGGAAGGUAGGGGUGCGCGGAACUUCUGGUGGAGCGGUGAAAUGCGUUGAUAUCAGAAGGAACGCCGGCGGCGAAAGCGGCGCACUGGACCUUUUCUGACGCUGAGGCGCAAAAGCCAGGGGAGCAAACGGG